GAUGUUUUGAGUGUUUUCUAGCAAAAACCUUGUAUAUUUACAAAACAUGGAAAACGCUCAUUCAGAUGUCUCUCUCAUUUCCGCUUCUCUCAUUUCCACAUAUCCCACAAUCUCUGCAUCUCUCUCUCCUCCCACUCCUUUCCUUUCCCUGUUUGCAUCUCUCUCUUCCGACUGCACCGUGGGUUUGCAUCUUGACUCUCUAUACCGUGCGUGAAUAGGUCUAUCGUCCGUGGUCUGUCAUGAGUGGUGCAUCCGUGGUCUACCGUCUUCAAAGGUAUGUAACAUUGUCAUUUGGUUUCAGUUGUUUUCUUCCAGUGUUAGUGCUUUAUUUCGGCUCCAUGAAUUCUGAUUUAGGGAUUCUUCAUUCCUAUAAUGUUUUCUGAUUUAGGGCUUUUUGAUUUAGGGAUGUAGGGCUUUUUAAUUAACAUAAAUCACAGAAACUUUGAGCUUUUAUAUUCUUGAAUUCUUACUUGUUUCUUGAAACUCAUGUAUUUUGUUCUUCAAUUUGCUCCUUCAAACGGCAAAAUUUUCUUCGCAUUUUCAAAUUUCUGCUUUUCCCCCUCAAUUUUCUGUUCUUAAUCAGAAAAUGGAAACUGUUUUUCUUUGUUUUGUGUUAGAUUGUAAGAAUAUUGUCUUUGUAUUAUUUAGAUUGUGUCCACAGCAUAGAUGCACAAUGCAUGUUAGAAGAGUAAGAAUAAAGGUAAAAAUAGCCAUUGGAAUUUGAUAUAGUACAUCAAAGGUGGCCAAGUAAUUGAAGUAGUUGUGAAAUUUGGUCAAUCAUUUAUUAUAUUCAUGUUCUCUCAGUUUGCUUUAGUGUAAGUUCCCUUUAUACUUUUAGUGCCUCCUUUUAGUCCUUGUUUUCGUGGUCUUCUCGAUCUGGGUUUUCAUUGAAUACACUGUUUUAGUGUUCUUAAUGGAGGCUAAAUUAUUUUGAGUAAAAUUAGAAUGUCAUCUAUUUAAUGUUAAUAUUCUAAUCUAGCAAGUUAUUUUGAAGAAUGAGAGGUGAUAUACCUAGAAAACAUCGAAUGAGUGCCUUAAAAUCCUUUCCAUAUAUACCUUACUAUACAAGGAGUUGAACCUUGCCCCUCCCCUCUCAACAAGAAAAGAAAAUAGAAGCAGCUUUUACUUACCUGCUAAACAAGGAAAAAAAAAAUAAAAGAACUAGAAAAUAAAAGAGAACAGUACCUCCUAAUCAAGUAAGUUUCUGGUAUGGUAUGGAUCAUUUCUGCAUGGAUUUUUUAGAGCAGUACCGCCUAAUCAAGUAAGUUUCUAGUAAGUUUGGUAAGCUUUUGCUAAUUGACAUUUCACUUGAAGACUUUUGAGCAAUUGGUGGUAUGUGACUAUAAUUAAACACAUUAUUUGAUGAUAAUUUGAUUUAUAUCAAUAUAGCUUCAAUAUGGGUGGUCACAGAGUAAGGAAUAUGGAACCAGUGUCAUGGUCAGAUGAGAAUGAACAAGCUUUUAUCGAAAUUCUUUACGAGAGAGUGAAAUCAAACGCAUUGCAAUGUUCUAUAUUCACAAAAGAUGGAUGGGGCAAGAUCAAUGAAAUUAUGAUAGCUUCAACAAAAAUGGAUUACGGCAUAUAUAGAUUGAAGGGAAACUAGAACCGCUUGCAUAAGAUUCGUCGCAUGUUCUCUGAACUUUUGGGAUAUACAGGUGUUACAUGGGAUCCAAAUACUAACAACGUUAAUGCUGUAGAGGAAGUUUGGCAAUACUUUUAUACAAUACUUUUAAUUUCAAAAGAAUAUUUUCAUCCUUAUUUUUUAUCUUAUCAAUUUUACAAUUUUGUUUUGUUUUUAAAAAAAAAAAUUGACAAUGUGGCUUCUUUUUUCAAUGUUAGAUUAACAAGUCGGAUUACAAGUUGUUCAAGAGGGAAGGAUGUAAGCACUACCAUGCUCUUGGAGAGAUAUUUAGCGGGAAACGGGAUUGGAUUUCCACUCAUAAGGAAGGAAGGUUAGAUAUCUUUGACAAGGUUGUAUUUUUGGUUAACUAAACUACUUUCACUUUACAUAACCAAGUAAGUCAACCAUAAGUCAUCGCUACUUAAUCGUCCCGACAUCAUGCUUGGUACUAGCUCUGAUCUUGAUAUGAUUUAUGUGGGUUUGGUUUUCUAAAUCUUAUAGUUAGUCAAGGAAAUUUCAAGUACCAUUGGAGAUGUAAGAAAGAGAAGAUUUCCCAUAGUAGAAUCGUGGAUAGGGAACUAUACUAGCAGCCUACUCAAUUUAUUGUAGAAUUUUUUGGAUCAAUUAUUAGACCAUGCUCUUACCUCACUGUCAAGCUAUCCGAACAAGAAAAAUGGAUACUAACCCGGACUUGCAAGAGAGCUACUACAGCUACUAGAGGAUUAGAUAGUGCCUCUACUCAGCUUCCAAACACAUCAGAGGAAGAAUGACAGCUAGAAGAUGAUUUUUUGAAUAGGGGAGUGAAUAUACGUGCAGAAAAUGAUGAUGAAGUCGAUGUGGUUUCAAAUAUUCGUUGACGUAACGAAAUUGGUAUAUCAGGUGAACGACGACGUAAGGAACCUAAGAUCGGUAAAAGUGAUAAACUCGAGGCUUGCAUGGCACAUUGGUCAUCUACAAUUAGUUCAAGGAAUGAAGAAAUUGAACUUAGAACACUUUACUUAAAAGAAAAGCUUGCAAAGAUCCAAGGAAAAAUCAAGUAAUCAAUCGGAUAGUGAACUAAAUAGUCCGGAUCCUUAUUCAAAUAUUAUUUGCUUCAACAUCUUAAACAAUAUGGAAGGGGUGUCCAACGAGGUUUAUAUGAAGGCAAUAAAGGCUUUUAAGGAUCUCAAUUUUAGGGUGUCAUUUGUAAAGAUGCCAAAAGCAAGGAGAGGACCUAUCUUGGAACUACUUUGAUAUGACUGUGGUGUUAAUUUCUUCAGUAUUGUGUUGUUUUAAUUUGUGACUACUUUGUGUUGUUUUGAACUAUCAUGGAACUACUUUGUAUUGUUUAAAUUUCUCUAGUUUUGUGGUGAUGUUGUAUUAUUUUCAUUUACGAACAUAGUGAUGUUGAACAUCGGAUAAUUGAUGUUAAUUUUUCUUCAGUUUCUAAAUGCUUGAUUGCAUGUUUUAUUUGAAAGAAUGGUGGUUGACAUGACUUAUGAUAAUUAUUUUGGUUAUAUUUUGUUCACAGUAUGACCGGUCAAUCAAAUGUGGAUGAUAAUGUGAGUAUCGAUGAUUCCAUUGAUGAAGAUUCGAGUGAUGAUGAUUUGUUAUAUAUGGAUGAUUUUGACGUAAAUUUUGGGAUUUAAUGCUUAAUUACUUAGUUGCCAACAAAGCAAGUACCAUUGGUAGGAGACCUUGUAGAACAUCAUUACUUACAAGAAAAUGUACAUUCUAGAAAUUAUGAAUGGACAUCCGGACGUGUACUAUCGUAAUUCUCACAUGUAGAAACACGUUUUCAUGAAUUUUUGUGAUAUUUUGAAAGAGAAAGGGUUGUUGAAAGAUGGGAAAAAAGUGAGUGUCGAGGAUGGUGUUACUAUAUUUCUGAUGAUUGUAGGGCACACUACAUGAUACAGUGUUAUUGGUGAUAGGUUUCAGCAUUCCAAUAACACGAUACACAAAUGUUUUAAACGAGUUGUAAGGGAUGUUUGUUCAUUUGGCACAGAGAUAAUCGUUCGACAAAUCAAGACGUUGUGCAUGAGCGGAUUUUGCGCAAAUAUCCUCUCUUUAAGGAUUGUAUAGGAGCAAUAGAUAGAACACAUGUUGCAGCUUGGACUUUUGCAUCUAGACAAACAUCUUUUCGAGGAAGGAAAACUAAUGUAACAAAAAAAUGUGAUGUUGACAUGAUAUUUUGAUAUGAAAUUCACAUUUUUAUAUGAUGACUAGGAAGGUACUGCUAAUGAUUCACGAGUAUUCGUCGACGCAAUUAUAAGAAGGUCGAACAACUUUCUAAUGCCACGAAGAGGUAUAUUCUUAUACUUUAAAUAAUUAUUGUAAAUAUAUUUACAAUGUCUCACUAUGUAAGCCUUUUUUUAUUUUUCAGACCAAUUUUACCUUGUUGAUUUUGGAUAUCCAAACAUGUCAAGAUUUCUUGCCCCUUAUGGAGGCCAAAGAUAUCAUCUGCGUGACUAUGUUGAAUGAGGAAGACUACGUGGGAAGGAAGAAUUGUUCAACUAUAGACACUCCUCGUGCCGUAACAUUAUUGAAUGUUGCAUUGGAGUUUUAAAGGCAAGAUUUUCUAUUUUGAAGCUGAUUACCAAUUAUCCACUUAGUAGGCAAAGACAAAUCCCUAUUGCAUGUUGUACAAUAAACAACUUCAAUAAUCAAGAGUACUCAGAGGAGAAUAUGGUGUUUCCAAACAUACCAGAGUCAAGUUAAGAUCAAGAAGUCAUACAUUUUGAUGCUAGUCAAACAACUCAAAUAGGACAAGUC
rnacentral:lncRNA from 1 species